rfam:TPA: Bos taurus chromosome 2, whole genome shotgun sequence.
CCUGGUGGCUCAGAUGGUAAAGCGUCUGCCUACAAUGCGGGAGACCCGGGUUCGAUCCCUGGGUCAGGA